rnacentral:rRNA from 1 species
ACAGGCUUAACACAUGCAAGUCGAGGGGCAUCAGGAAGAAAGCUUGCUUUCUUUGCUGGCGACCGGCGCACGGGUGAGUAACACGUAUCCAACCUGCCCUUUACUCGGGGAUAGCCUUUCGAAAGAAAGAUUAAUACCCGAUAGCAUAAUGAUUCCGCAUGGUUUCAUUAUUAAAGGAUUCCGGUAAAGGAUGGGGAUGCGUUCCAUUAGGUUGUUGGUGAGGUAACGGCCCACCAAGCCUUCGAUGGAUAGGGGUUCUGAGAGGAAGGUCCCCCACAUUGGAACUGAGACACGGUCCAAACUCCUACGGGAGGCAGCAGUGAGGAAUAUUGGUCAAUGGGCGCUAGCCUGAACCAGCCAAGUAGCGUGAAGGAUGAAGGCUCUAUGGGUCGUAAACUUCUUUUAUAUAAGAAUAAAGUGCAGUAUGUAUACUGUUUUGUAUGUAUUAUAUGAAUAAGGAUCGGCUAACUCCGUGCCAGCAGCCGCGGUAAUACGGAGGAUCCGAGCGUUAUCCGGAUUUAUUGGGUUUAAAGGGAGCGUAGGUGGACUGGUAAGUCAGUUGUGAAAGUUUGCGGCUCAACCGUAAAAUUGCAGUUGAUACUGUCAGUCUUGAGUACAGUAGAGGUGGGCGGAAUUCGUGGUGUAGCGGUGAAAUGCUUAGAUAUCACGAAGAACUCCGAUUGCGAAGGCAGCUCACUGGACUGCAACUGACACUGAUGCUCGAAAGUGUGGGUAUCAAACAGGAUUAGAUACCCUGGUAGUCCACACAGUAAACGAUGAAUACUCGCUGUUUGCGAUAUACAGUAAGCGGCCAAGCGAAAGCAUUAAGUAUUCCACCUGGGGAGUACGCCGGCAACGGUGAAACUCAAAGGAAUUGACGGGGGCCCGCACAAGCGGAGGAACAUGUGGUUUAAUUCGAUGAUACGCGAGGAACCUUACCCGGGCUUAAAUUGCAGUGGAAUGAUGUGGAAACAUGUCAGUGAGCAAUCACCGCUGUGAAGGUGCUGCAUGGUUGUCGUCAGCUCGUGCCGUGAGGUGUCGGCUUAAGUGCCAUAACGAGCGCAACCCUUAUCUUUAGUUACUAACAGGUUAUGCUGAGGACUCUGGAGAGACUGCCGUCGUAAGAUGUGAGGAAGGUGGGGAUGACGUCAAAUCAGCACGGCCCUUACGUCCGGGGCUACACACGUGUUACAAUGGGGGGUACAGAAGGCAGCUAGCGGGUGACCGUAUGCUAAUCCCAAAAGUCUCUCUCAGUUCGGAUCGAAGUCUGCAACCCGACUUCGUGAAGCUGGAUUCGCUAGUAAUCGCGCAUCAGCCACGGCGCGGUGAAUACGUUCCCGGGCCUUGUACACACCGCCCGUCAAGCCAUGGGAGCCGGGGGUACCUGAAGUACGUAACCGCAAGGAUCGUCCUAGGGUAAAACUGGUGACUGGGGCUAAGUCAU